rnacentral:lncRNA from 1 species
CGACGAUCGAAUCUCGCGCAAGUAACAUACCGAAGGACAAAGGGAAUGACAUACGGGAUUAUAUGAAUCCUUGACACUAAGGUUCAACCGAUAAGAUCUUCAGAGAAUAUGUAGGAUCCAAUAUGGGCAUCCAGGUCCCGCUAUUGGAUAUUGCCCGAGGAGUACCCCGGGGCAUGUCUACAUAGUUCUCGAACCCGCAGGGUCAGCACACUUAAGGUUCGGCGAUGUUUUAGUAUAGUUGAGUUAUAUGUGUGGUUACCGAAUGUUGUUCGGAGUCUCGGAUGAGAUCACGGACGUCACGAGGGUUUCGGAAUGGUCCGGAGACGAAGAUUGAUAUAUAGGAUGACUUCAUUUGGUUACCGGAAGGUUUCCGGGCAUUACCGAGAUUGUACCGGGAGUGACGAAUGGGUUCCGGAUGUUCAUCGGGAGGGGGGCAACCCACCCAGGGGAAGCCCAAAGGCCCUAGGGUUGGCGCACCAGCCCUUAGUGGGCUGGUGGGACAGCCCAAGAGGGCCUAUGCUCCAAGGAAAGAAAAACCAAAGAGAAAAAAAGAGAGGUGGGAAGGAAGAGAAGGACUCCACUUUCCAAUCCUAGUUGGACUAGGAUUGGAGUACGACUCCUCCUCUCCCUUGGCAGAUGCACCCUUGAGGGCUUGGCCCUCAAGGAAAGCCUCCUUCCCCUCCCUCCUAUAUAUAGUGGUGAUUUAGGGCUGAUUUGAGAUAACUUUUGCCACGUGCAACUCAGAUGUAGACAACAUAUUUCUACCUCUAGAUCGUAUUUCUGCGGAGCUUGGGCGGAGUCCUCCAGGAGUAGAUCCUUCACCACCUCCGGAGCGCCGUCACGCUGCCGGAGAACUCAUCUACUUCUUCGUCUUGCUUGCUGGAUCAAGAAGGCCGAGAUCAUCGUCGAAUUGUACGUGUGCUGAACGCGGAGGUGUCGUCCGUUCGGCACUAGAUCAGAACGGAUCACGGGACGGAUCGUGGGACGGUUCGCGGGGUGGAUCGAGGGACGUGAGGACGUUCCACUACAUCAACCACGUUUCUUAACGCUUCCUGCUGUGCGAUCUACAAGGGUACGUAGAUCCAAAUCUCCUCUCGUAGAUGGACAUCACCAUGAUAGGUCUUUGUGUGCGUAGGAAUUUUUUUGUUUCCCAUGCAACUUCCCCAAAAGUGGUCUUGGUUCACCUUUGCUCAAUGACGAAGCAAUGACGCCUCCCCAACCUGCUAAUCGUUUCGACCGCCCGUGGCGGAUCUCCCAGUCAAGGUUCGUGUUUAGUUUGGCACUCGUUGGUUAUGGUUGAUCCUUUGUUGUGUCGUGGGGCUCGAUACGCACGCCGGUGCGGAGCAUUAGGUUGUUUGCAGAGUCUUGGUAUUGUGAUCAUUUGACAACACCCCACAUCUACUUGUGUCUCUCGUGGUGGUGGUCUUUCUACAUGCUAGCUAGGUCAUGCAUUCUCGUGGGUGGCAAUUUUUUUUCUCAUCUUCUGUAAUCUUGUUACUUGUAUGGUUUUCUACCGGUUUUCCUCAUAAACGGGGUCAACCUAUUUAUAUUUUUGAUCCAGUUUUCCUUUGAACUGGAUCAACCAAAGCUCAAAGGAUGACUCUUGGCUUUGACAACUUUUUCGGCAAUAUAUUCACGUGGGGAUCAUCUCCCCCGUGAUCGUUCAAAAAAAACACAACUAGUACAUUAGAGCAACUCCAACUGGCCGACCCAAACGGACGGUGAUUUUAUCCUUUUUUCAUCCGUUUGGGUCGCCAGCUCGCUGUGUGUCCGCCCACUUUAGGAUUUGGGUCAACAGUGCGCCCAACGCGCCGACCCAUAUUUGUCCGCAUGGCCGGCUAGCCGCCGUUUUUUAACAAAUACAAACAUUUUGCAUAUUUUUUCAGAAGCAAAUGAAAUAGCAUAGUUCCACAACCAAAAUAAUAAUAUAGCAAAGUUUUACAAGCUCAAUAAAAGUUAAAUUGUCUUAAAAAGAUACAUCUAUUGGUUGCCAACAUGACCCCACAUAUGCUCAACCAAAUCAUCUUGAAACUGAAUAUGAGUUUCCCAAUCACGCAUUUCAUGAUGAAAUUGGGUGAACUGUGCAAGCGAUGCCGCUCCUCCGCCACGCCGAGGCACCACAUUGUCACCCUCAAAACCAAACCCUUGAUCGUGGAGACGUUCCGGGCGCUCAUCCUCUACGAUCAUAUUGUGCAUGAUCACACAAGCAGUAGCAUGAUACCUAACUAUGCCCCAUCGAGAUUGCAAAACAUCAAAGGCACGUUCGACAUCCUUCCUAUCACUCUCUUGCUCUUGGGAAAAUCUUUUCCUCUUCUCUGCGACAGGAUUGGAGAUUGUCUUCACAACAGUGGUCCAUUGUGGAUAGAUUCCGUCAACUAGAUAGUAUCCUUUGCUGUAGCUGUGACCGUUGAUGUUAACAUCGAACAACGUGUUGUUGCCUUUGGCAAGCCUUGUAAACACCGGCGAACAUUGAAGCACGUUCAUAUCAUUGUGUGAUUCGGCCAUGCCAAAGAAAGAGUGCCAGAUCCAGAGAUCUUGAGAGGUCACGACCUCAAGUAUGACAGUGCAAGCCUUGACAUGGCUCUUGUACUAGCCUUGCCAAGCAGAAGGGAAGUUCUUCUACUCUGAAUGCAUGCAGUCUAUGCUGCCAAGCAUCCCUGGGAAGCCCUGCCUAACAUUGGUCGCCAACAAGCGGGUUGUGUCUCUAACAGUCAGCUCUCUCAAGUACCCAGGGCCAAACACUGCAACCACAACUUUGCAGAAUCUGUGCAAUGACUCUAGGCACGUAGACGCACUCAUACACACGUACUCAUCGAUAAGAUCACUGGGUGCUUCGUAAGCAAGCAUCCGGAUAGUUGCAAUGCAUUUCUGAUAAGAUGAGAAGCCAAUCUUUCCAAUGACAUCCUCUUUGCACUCGAAGUAGUCAUCGUAUCUGACCACCCCCUCUCGAAUCCGGUUGAAAACAUGCCUAGCCAUACGGAAACGCCGCCGAAAUUUCUGAUGUUUGAACAACGGAUUGGUUGUGUCAAAGUAGUCCUUCCAUAAAAGGAAAUGACCGCUCUCUUGGUUGCGAUUCAACGCCGGAACAUGCCCCAGAAUCGAGCCCCGGAACAACGGCCGCUGCCUAUUAAGGUGGUCAUGGACCAACACAACAAGCAGCAUCUCCUCAUCGUCGGAUGAGGAACCAUCGGAGUUGCACAAAAUAUUAUGGAAAAAGAACUCGUCGGCGCAGUCCAUUUGUACCUUGAGGCAAACUGUUGAACAACUUGCGGGCGUGGACAACGAAGUUGACCGACGGCGUCGGAUUGGGGGUCGGGGAAGCCGUGGUGGCCCGACGGCGAUGCGGCUGGCGGCGUGGGUAGGUGUCGGUGUUUGGGGAGGUACGGGAGGAGGCGCUGGUGGCCGAGGCACAGAAACUGGGCGGCGGCGGCGAUGGGGUGGGGGCGAGGCGAGGGCUAGCUGUCGGUAGGGAUGGAGAACGACCAAUGUGCCACCGACUAGCGGGCGAGGGGAAGGAGUACGCGCGCGCCGUCCGCGUUCGUUUUGUGUCCGCGCCGAUCCAAAUCAGACUCAAAAUUGGGCCGAAAUGGGUCCGCGGACGAAAAGCGGACGCACGUCCGUUUGAAUCGGCGUGUUGGACCGAUUUUUCUGUCCGCGUGGACCCAAACGAACGACGGCGGAUGAAAUGGGUCGUCCUUGCUAUUAUAGCUAUCACAUAAACAAAACAAUUGUGGAAUUUGUGACACUUGUCUUGCACACUGUUAUUGACUGUUUCUUUCUUGAGCAAUUCCAACAUGGAUGCAGUUUUGUUCUCUUCUUCUUGACACGUUUUGGCCUUUCGGGGGGCAGGCUGUUUUUCUCGUUGCUGCCCACCGAUUCUCCUGAAAACGGGCUAGCGAGAAGGCGAAGCAAAGCUAGGCGAAAAGCGUGCGUCACUUGUCUCGCACUUCACUUCCCCAUGGCCCACGUGCUCCAGCGGCCGAGCCGGAGCAGAGAUCCCGCCGCCACCUGUCCCCUGACGAGCAAAUCACACCGUUGCUACUAAAUAAAUAAAACACCCAAAGCCAAAACCCGAGCUGAGAAAAUCCCGGCCGCCUCUCCCUGGCCGCACCGCCGCGAUCACUCCCUCCCCUCCUCCCACCCGCCGGCGCCGCCGGCCAUGGAGGACGCCUACGCCAAGUCCGUCGCGGAGGUAAGCCGCCGCCGCCGCCGCCGCAUCUAGCCCCCGCCUCGCGCCAUAGCUUUGACCUCCCCCGCUUCGCCCCCGCCGCCUCUCACGGAUCUGGUCGCCGCCCGUCCUCGCAGGUGCUCGAAGCUUUCGGCGUGGACCGGACCAAGGGCCUCUCCGACUCGCAGGUGCUGCUCCGGAGCCGUCCGCGCUGUGGUUUUUUUGGUCUGGGUUGCGGGGAAUGGGGGACUGAUUUGGUUUCUGGCUUGUGUGGGCAGGUGGAGCAGCAUGCGUUGCGCUACGGCAAAAAUGGUGAGGAGCUUCUUACUGCAUUAUGCGUUUUGAUUCGUUCAUUGUCCUAUUAUGGGUUUAAUUAAUGGGCGCCGAACUGUUUGUGAUAAGUAAGUAGACAAAAUGGAGAGAAGGAUAUGUGGUUUCGUCGGAGUCGAGUAAGCAAGUUCUCCAGACGAGGAAUAGUCUGGUGCCUUUCCACCAAUCUCGAAAUACAUCCUAUCCAAAUUCAUCGGAAUAGAUUUUGUUUUAUUUUGCACAAAGCGGCUAUUUAUACAAGCAGAUUACUAAUUCUCGGUAUAUUUGCGUUGGUGCUUACUUCCUAGCGACUAGAACCGUCUAAAACCAGAGCAUUUCUAAAUAAGGAGGCGUGGUUUGCAUGCGUCCUUUUUUUGUACUAGGGACUCCACAGCCUAUAAUUGCUGUUAUUAACCGACAUAAACAUUUUUUCACGUACGCAAUGCCAUAACCCAGACAUAUCAACUUUUAUAAUCCGGGGAAUGAAAUUUGAAAGUCACUGUAAUGCUGAUUUAACUGAAUUGAUACAGCUUUCAUACUUUGGAUGUACUACUCCGUCCCAUAAUGCAAGACGUUUUUUGACACNNNNNNNNNNNNNNNNNNNNNNNNNNNNNNNNNNNNNNNNNNNNNNNNNNNNNNNNNNNNNNNNNNNNNNNNNNNNNNNNNNNNNNNNNNNNNNNNNNNNNNNNNNNNNNNNNNNNNNNNNNNNNNNNNNNNNNNNNNNNNNNNNNNNNNNNNNNNNNNNNNNNNNNNNNNNNNNNNNNNNNNNNNNNNNNNNNNNNNNNNNNNNNNNNNNNNNNNNNNNNNNNNNNNNNNNNNNNNNNNNNNNNNNNNNNNNNNNNNNNNNNNNNNNNNNNNNNGUGUCAAAAAACGUCUUACAUUAUGGGACGGAGGAGUAGUUCAGACCCUUACCAUUUCCUCAGUAAAACUUGAAAGCUUCAGUCGAGACUCCUGCACAAUUUCUUGAGGGCAGACAUAUUUAUGUUAUCAUCUACUUUUUCAUUGCGGUGUUCACACAUGAUUUUUGUUAUCAUAAUUGUGGCCACUAACUGAUUGCUGCACUUUCUUUUCGUGCAUGGAUUAUCUGCAGUGCUGCCCCAAGAAGAAAGUAAGUUGUCAGCUCUAACUUCUAAUGUUCAUUUUAUGUACGGCAACACAUUUCGUAUUACCUGUUACACCUUUUCUCCAAAGUGUUUGCCGUCAGAAAAUGUUGGUACUUGGUAUUCCAUUAUCUCUGUCUUACCCCAUUUACUCUUUCUGAAUAACUGAAUAUAAGCGAACCAUGGAUUGACAAGGAUGCAUUGCAACUACGAGUCCUCUUAGUUGACAUACUAAUGAUUAUAUGGCAAGUUUAAAAGUUGGAUGUUUUAUGAGAAGGAUAGUAUCAUUGAAAUGUCUAAGCUCUACCCUUUGUUAAUUUCCAUGUAAAAACGAUUUAUUUUGGUAAGGUAGUAGAAAAAUGUUAAGGGUAGUAUAGUAGUAUGCUUUUAUAGGUAUUUGUUAGUGUUGGAUUGAAUCAAUAUGCCCUUUGGGCUCGUUUAAUGCAUCCAAUUGUGCUGUUUCUCCGCAGAUACAAGACAUAACCUAAGGCAUACUCCCUCUGUCUCAAAAGAACUGCCUCAACUUUGUAUUGGCUCUAGUACAAAUUUGUACUAAGCUUAAGACAUUUAUUUUGUGAUGGAGGGAGUACAUAAUAUUCAUACUACCCCUGAACAUCCUUUACCUUGGAUGAUGACUUGUCGUAGCAUGCUUUUGCAAAUAUUAUGUUAGACAAAUACCUUGUUGGAUGAUCACCAAAUUAUAUUGUAUUGGGUCUUUGUUGUUUUCUUUGCCACCAGCUAUAGAAGUUAAGUUUAUUGAAGUUCAUAACGACUAACUCAGAUUCUGUUCUAGGAGGAUUUUACAAAUAAGUAAAUAAAAUCAUAACCAGAACAAAUGAAUAAGUUUUUCAAGGAAGAUAAAUAGAUAAAGGAAAAUUAGUUUUGUUUCCCUUUAUUCAUCAUCUAUUAACGUGAAAUUUCUGACCCAGGUACCCCCUUCUGGAAGUUAGUUUUGAAGCAGUUUGAUGAUUUACUUGUCAAAAUAUUGAUAGCAGCUGCCGUGGUAUCCUUCCUUUUGGCUCGAUUGAAUGGUGAAACUGGAUUAACAGCAUUUUUGGAACCAUCUGUAAGUUGAUCCACUUUGGGGGAUAUAUCCUAUGUGAGGAAGAUGAUUUUCAUGUGCCACAUGGAGGCAGUAACUAACAAGAUGGCCUUUAUUUCGAUUGCAUAGGUCAUAUUUAUGAUAUUAGCAGCAAAUGCAGCAGUUGGUGUGAUCACAGAAACAAAUGCUGAAAAAGCUCUCGAGGUUAUUACUUUUGAACAAGGCUCUAAUGUCGUGCUUAAUUCUCUAGAUCUGGUUUACUGCUGUUUGAUAUGUUUUUCUUUUUGCACGUGCUGUGAGAUAUUAUGUGUGGCUAUGUUUUCUCGUUUCCCUCUUUUCCUCAAACAUCAUACAAAUUACUUCGAUGUGAAACUUGGAAUGUUUAAAUGGCUGUUAUUUAAUCUCUUGGAUGCAUAAUCGUGGAUACACCAUGUUUACCCUGGUCAUUUUCUCUUGUUUUCACUCCCUUAUAGUUUGUAUCACAUAUUUGGAGCAAUACUAAGAGUACUGAUUUUGGUCCUAAUUAUUCUUUUUCUGCACAUGGUUAAUCUUAACUCCAUAUGCUAGUUACUUAACUUCGUCUUGUACUGUGUGACUACAAUUGGCAUUGGAAUGGCCAACUCUUGUUGUCCAUCCACAUGACUCUCUUAUGAAAAAACCUGCAGGAGUUGCGAGCAUAUCAAGCAGAUGUUGCAACAGUGCUGCGCAAUGGUAAUUUUUUUCCGAAUUGAUUAUUGCAUUUCAAGUGUGUAAGCAUAUUAUCACACAAUUAUUUGUUUGCAGUCUUCUGAUUGAACUUUUGUUAAUUAUGACUAUGAGUUGCAUCUACUCUUCAGUUUUGAAAUUGGAAACAUGUACCUGUAACCAUUCCACUUGAAAAAUUCAAAAUGUCAACAAAAUCCACUUGCUUUGUCACAGCAGGUUGGUUUGUUUGAGCUGGACCCAUGGAAUGCCGUGCUUAUCGAGUUAUCGUAGAACUUGUUGAGGUGUUCCAUAAGAAGGGCAUCAUUCUCUUGUGAGAGAUUGAUGAUGCCAAUGUCACUUUUGGAUUUGGGUUUAGAUACAUUGUCACAGGCUGCUAAAGAUCCGAUUCUGUCUGAAUAUCAUGGACACACCAUGUCAAGAAGCAGAGUCUUGUGCAAACCUUAGUCCCUGUCAGCUGUUUGUUUUGUGCAUGUCCUUUGCGUGCAUGUACAUGUGUCAUUAAAGUCGGAGUUGGGCUGCACUUGCAGCUUUUUUAAAGGUUGGUUUGGAAGACGACGAAUUGAAGCAAAAAUGCUCCGACUAAGAGCAACAUUUAAUUACACCAUACUUUCUUGCUACAAAAGUGCCUUUUAAUCAGCUUCCACCUGGGUAACGAUCCUUGUAUUUGUUGACCUGUGAAAACAAAGAAACACAAAGGUCCUUUGCGUUUUCUCGAAAAAAAAGUGUUUAUCUUGAUAUUUGCGAUUGGAUUGAUAUAUCUUCACUUGAAAGACUCGUUAUUAAAUAUUACUAGUAACCUCUGUUCCUAAAUAUAAGACGUUUUAUAUUCAUAUGAUUGAGUCACUUGUCAAUGUUCAAUUUGUUAGGUUGUUUUUCUAUACUUCCAGCAACGGAACUUGUCCCUGGAGAUAUUGUAGAAGUGGGAGGUACUGUUCAAGUCCAUUCAAGUUAUUUCCAUUUAGCAUAAUGCUGAGUAUGUUCCUGAUCUAACUUGGUUACACCUUGUUUCUUAUGUGUAGUUGGUUGCAAAGUUCCAGCUGACAUGAGAAUGGUUGAAAUGCUAAGCCAUCAAUUGCGUGUUGACCAGGCAAUUCUAACAGGUAUUUUUUGCGUUGUCCUGUGCUAUCCUCCUGUUCAUCCUAAUAUUAACUGAAGUGUACUAGUUUGUCGUGGCAAUCUUGUUUUAGAGAACAGGAGAAAUGUUAUGCCCUUUUUUGAUCAAUGCAUUUGAUUUGGCAAUGUAAUUGUCGCUAAAGACAUUAUUAGGUGCAUGGUAUAACCUAUGAAGGGCUAACAUAUGUGUUUCUGAAUCACUUGUUUAUUUUGUGCAUUAUUCUAGGGGAAAGCUGUUCAGUGGCUAAAGAGCUUGAUUCAACUUCAGCAAUGAAUGCUGUCUACCAGGACAAAACAAACAUUCUUUUCUCGGUAGGUGUAUAUCAAGCUGACUGCCACUCAAUAUCUCGGUAGUCACAUAGAUCUAUCGAUUUUUUAAUAGCGUUCAGUAGGGAACUAAUCAAGUAAACAUGAUUUUUUAAGUGAAAAUAUCUAAACCCCCAUGCGAACCGUUGGAUGAGGGAUGGUGAAUCAGAUUGCAAUGUCCUGAAAAUGUAGGAGUCAUGUGAGUCUGUUAUUCAGGAUAUUUCCCUCAUUUUUUCUCCGUUGUGGAAACACUGCUAGUACGUACACUUGUUCGCUCAUAAUAAUUGAAAUCUGUGCUAGCAAUCUUUUGUCCUCUCUGAUUAUUUGCAAGCAUAUUCGUUUGGCAGUUAGAUGAGAUCGGGAAACGAUGUAUAAAAAUAUGCAGUUUGAUAUGUUUAAGUCUUUGUAGGAUUGUCAGAUUAUCUUUUGAAACCUUAGUGUAAAUCUCACAUUUGAGAAGUUGUAACACAUAGAAGGGUUGAAAAAGGUGUGUCUAGGCGCCACCUAGGGGUGCAAAAGCACCAGGAGACAGCAGAAUAUGUAGCCUUGGCUCUAGGUUUUCUGCCGAGGAAGCGUUUUCACUGGCAACGCUCGGUGACGAGGGACAAGGAGGUGGUGUGUGAAGAUUGAAAAUGGACGACUGCAGCAAGGUAAGAAAAUGUGGUGGUGGGUGGCCACCCGUGACGGCGUGUCAUCAGUGAUGGCGUUGCAUCUGUUGUUGCUCAUGUGGUCAUGGUAACAGCGGCAGCACGAUCUGUAGGCAGAUCUGAACCAUGAUGUAACUAAAGCAGCAACUUCGUGGGCAAAUGGGCCUGGUGGGGCCUUAUUUUCUUCCUUUUUCAUUUCAGCUUUUGCCCUUUAACCCCUCUAAUUUCUACCUGCUUGAACCGUGAAGCCUGAAGCUAUGGCUAUCAUGCAGAGCGCGCCACUUAGGUUUGUCCAUCCAGAUCACGGUACAUGUUGAAUUAAAAAAAGAAGAAGAUCACGGUACAUGUUCAGAUUGCUCUGGACUUUAGAGGAACAUAUUUCAGGCUGCCAAGACGCUGCAUUAUAGCAGCAAUAUACACAGUGGCGAAGCCACACUAUGGCUGUGUAGUCAAUUGACUACACAGCUUUUGAUAAAAACCUUCUAAAUAUUCAAGUAAACUUUAUCCAUAAAUUCAGAAAUACUAUAAGAUUUGGAGAGGAAUUAUAGUUGACAUCACAGGUUUAUUAUCCUGGCACCGCCACUGAAUAUACAUGUUCAGACUGCUCUGGAUUUUAGAAGAAUAAAUUUCAGGCUACUGCUACUAGGCGGCAAAAAACUCCUGCCUAGCAUCCAUCGCCUUUUUAAACCUAAAAAAAGUAGAUAGAUCUUCAACUGCUGAAAUUCGAAGUGCAGGGUCAUUUUUUUCUUCAAAUUACAUCUCAAAGAACACUCACUUUUAAAAUUUUCUCAUUACCGCCAUUAGCCAGUUGCUUCUUCUGAACUUUGCAUGCUGCCUGAUGUCUUUGCUUCCCAGGGUACUGUUGUUGUAGCUGGUAGAGCAAGAGCUGUCGUUAUUGGUGUUGGUUCUAAUACUGCAAUGGGAAGUAUACGUGAUGCAAUGCUGAGAACAGAGGAUGUAAGCAUUCAAUUUGCUUCUCAUUUGUGUAUAAAAUUUGGUAAUGGUGUCUCUCAUUCAAAUUAUAUGUUUCACUUUAUCUUUUUGCUGCUCUAGUAUUGUUUUGUGUCUUAGCACUAUGAUUGCUUUAUAUAUAGUGGCAAUUUAACGUAUUCCCACACAUCCAGGAAGCAACUCCACUGAAGAAAAAACUGGACGAAUUUGGCACAUUUCUGGCAAAGGUAGAUGACCACGGUCUUUUCCAACAUGUUAUGAGUAGUUUUCGUUUCCAAAAUUAAGUGUCAACAUUGCCUGAAAAAUUAUGACUGAAGCAAAUGUAUGGAGACAUUUACUAGAAGAGAACCUGAUAAAAAAUUCAGGAAAGCUAACAACAAUUGAAUCUUAUUUACCUUUGCUCAAGAGCCUUAAUGGUUUAAUAUAUUCAUUUACAUUUCUCUUGCAACAUCAGCAACUUUAUGAUCGUAGUUUUGCUCCCAAAUUUUAUGUAGCUUUUCCAUUUUUGUACUUGAGUGUUUGAUCCAUCUCUUAUUAAUUAAUUUGGAUGCCCUUUAUUUGUGCUCAUAGCCUCAUAUGUUUUCCUAACCUGUAAGUUGCACAUAUCUAAAUUAUACUGAAGUCAUGUUUACCUAGCUAGGGUUGCAGGUCCAUGGCAUGAUGCAUGUCUGAUAGAUUAGAGACUUGGAGAGGCAUAUUAAUUCUAGUCUAAAACAAAGUCCAACUCAGAUUAGAAGUUGACCAGAAACAUAAGUGUGAUUUCAGUGUAUUUUGUGAAAAUAUUACAUGUGCUAAUGUGGAAAAUAUUAGAACGACAAAAAGAAUGGGUGAAAUAUAAGCUCGGUUGACAGUGAAUCACCGUUGCUUCAGGAAUCAUAUAGUUUGAAGUUCAAAUGUUUUUUCAGGCUUAAUCAGUUUUUUUAUUUUUAUUUUCAGGUUAUAGCAGGGAUCUGUAUUCUUGUUUGGGUUGUAAAUAUUGGCCAUUUCCGAGAUCCUUCUCAUGGUGGCUUUCUUAGGGGUGCCAUUCAUUAUUUUAAGGUAUAUCACUAUUCCUAUUCUGUCUGAAUGUACGUUUAUUGGUAUUUGCUCAUUGUAGGUUCUGUAAUAUAAUCAGCAGAAAUUUGCUUGUUGUGUGUUAAGCCAGAGUGCAGAAUUUGGUAUCGUUGGUUCUCUUUCGUAGAUUUUAUCUGCAUGAAAGCUACUCCCUCCAUUCCUAAAUAUAAGUCUUUUUAGAUAUUUCACUAGGGGACUACAUACGGAGCAUUUUUUUUUCGAGAAAGCGCUGCGUUUCAUUAUAUUGGAAAGAUAGAGUUUGUUACAGUCCUCCUAGGAGGCAGGAUACAAGCAUUCUAAUGCUACUUAGUGUACAUCCCAUGUCUGCGGUAGGAUAACCCGAAGCCCUUUGGCACCAGCCCUUGCCCAUAAGGUAGCCUCCUCUUUGAUUUUCGACAGUAGUGCAGCAAUUGAGGGUUGUGCCCUGUCAAAAACGCAAUCGUUGCGGUGCUUCCAUACCAUCCAGGGUAGGAGCAGGGUGAUGGAUGCCAGCCCUUUUCUCUGUGGGUGGGGGGUGCUUUGUCGCGCGCGGUUCCACCAGUCCAGCAGCGAGUCCGCCUGGUUGGGGCAUCCUACUGGCAAUCGAAACCACACGAGGACCUCGUGCCAAAUCUGUUGGGUGAAUGGGCAUUCGAUGAUGAUGUGGUGGAUGGUCUCGAAGGCCUGGUCGCAUAGAAGGCACCAUGGAUGGUGCUGCAGGCCGCGCCGGGCGAGUCGGUCUGCAGUCCAGCAUCUGUCCUGCUGCGCAAGCCAGAGGAAGAACCUAACCUUUGGCGUCGUCCAUGCCUUCCAUAUCAUCUUCCAAGCAGGGCAGGUUACUGAUCCAUGGAACGUGGCGAGGUAGGCAGACCGUGCUGAGUAUGUGCCCGUGGUAGUCCAUUUCCAUAGCAGGCGGUCGGGCUCCUCGGUGAGGAUGGUGUCCGCGAUCAUCUGCCAGAGCUGGAGAAACUGCCCGAUCUCGUGUAUGCCAAGCACGCCCUGGAUGUCGCGGGUCCAGCUAUUUCCAUGUUGGCCUUGUGCCACCGUCCUCUGCUUCCGCCGUCGCUUGGGGCAGCAGGCAUAUACCAGCGGCGCGAUCUCGCUGAUUGAUCGCCCCUGGAUCCAGCGAUCCUCCCAGAAUAGGGCCGUCUGCCCGUUUCCCAGCUCCAUGGUCGUGGAGGCAAAAAACAGUGCACGCUCGGUGGCUGAGAAUUGAAGGUCGAGCCUAGCCCAUGCGUGAUCUAUGUCUGUUUGGGAGAACCAUAGCCAUCUCAGCCUUAAUGCAAGCCCAGCACGCUCAAGGUCGCGUACGCCUAAGCCUCCAAGGGAGAUAGGCCGGCACGCGCGUCGCCAAUUGACAUGGCAAUGCCCUCCCUUAGCUUCGGCUCUUCCGGCCCAUACGGAGCAAAAUUAGUGAAUCUAUAUUCUAAAGUAUGUCUAUACAUCCGUAUGUAGUCCCCCAUAAAAAUCUCUUAAAAGGCUUAUAUUUAGGAACGGAGGGAGUACAUUCACACAAAUUAGCUGGGGUUAUUGUUGUCAGGCUCUAUAGUGCAUGCAUCUGUAGAAUGACAUUGUUUAUAGUCAUUCUCAUAUGCUCAGGUCAUUUUAUGAUGUUGCACAGCAUGGUCUGUACCUGGAAACUCGAUCGUUUAGAUGUGGUUGAUGCUAGCAAUUUUCGUUUCAUUCAAGUUGACUGGCUUAAAAAUCUUAAAUGGGUUCCUUGUUCAUAUAGUUGUGUCCAUUAAGUGGACCUACCUACAUGCAUUUGAUAAAGAGCUGUCAAUCCACUUCGGUUAGGCAUUGUUAUUUGAAUACUUCCCAUUACAAGCAAGUCAUUUUAGCCCUAAGAACUUUUCUUUAAGUAUAGAUCGUUCUACAACCUUGAAGCUUAUUUACUCAUUGUUUUGUCUUAUAGUUAUGCCCUUCAUAGUAAGUGUGCACGUUCUCAUCGAUAAUGAAGCUUUCUAACAUAUUGAAUGAAAAAAUGAUAGUGUUGCAUUCAACCGCCAUUAAUCAUCGUGCCUAACAUUGAUUUCUUGAAAAUAUGAACUGUUUUCUUUUGAUAGGUAGCAGUUGCCCUUGCUGUUGCAGCCAUUCCAGAAGGUCUCCCAGCUGUAGUAACAACGUGAGUUCCUUACAAACAAUUUGUAGCUUUCCAGUAGUACCAAAUAAAACAUUUUAUGUGAUUCAGUUGAUAUAUCAACAAAAAGUAUCUGAUUUAAAUCUGUAAUUUGAAGGUGUCCUUAAUAUCUCCAACUUUACCAAUGUUUGUUAUAGCAUAAUGUUUCUCUCAGUCAGUUAGUUCUUAAUUAUUAUCCCUCCGUUCCAAAAAGCUUGUCGUGGUUUUAGUUCAAAUUUGAACCACGAUGAGUAUUUUGGAACGGAGGGAGUAAUAAAGCACAAAAUAGAUUCAGAUUUUAUUAAAAUGAGAAGUGCGAUCAGUUGGAAUUUGGAAAUGUGAACUUUGGAAAUUUGAAAGAGUGUAUGACACGCUAAGUCAUUGGGAUUUAUACAUUAACGUAAUUACUUAAUCCCAUGGUCUGAUAGCUAGUUACGGAACUUGGCUUCCUUGUAUAUGGUGUGAAUAAUUUCUGCUGCUUGCCACAAAAUUAGUCAUUUUUGACUGACCCUUUUUGAGCAGGAGAGAAUUGAUCUUGUUCGUUUGUCUCACCCAUGACUCUGGUUAAGAAACAAGAAACAUGAUACUGCCCAUUACCAAUCCUAUCCUCAGUCUAGAUAUUCUAAGUUUCUUGUUCAUUUAAUAUUGAAGCGUAGUGGUUUACUUUGUUCUUUCUUGAAGUGAGUGUAACAUAUCAUUGGUUCAUUUUUACUUCUAGGUGCUUAGCUCUUGGUACCAAGAGAAUGGCUCGCUUGAAUGCUAUCGUCAGAUCUUUGCCCUCUGUGGAGACAUUAGGAUGCACAACAGUCAUUUGCAGUGACAAAACUGGCACUCUUACUACAAACAUGAUGUCCGUGUCUAAGGUGAACACUCUAGUUUACAGCAUCAUUUAUUGUUUAGUGUGCAGUGGGAUUUAACUAAAAUACAAUAUGCGCUUUAAGAUUAAUGUCUCUUACACUUGGUCAAUAUAUUAUGUUCACCGCAUAACUAACAAGUGUCUUAAUAUCCCAGGUAUGUGUUGUGCGGUCUGUGCACCAGAGACCAAUAACUGAUGAAUACUCUAUUAGUGGAACCACAUUUGCUCCUGAUGGGUUUAUAUAUGAUGCCAGUGAAAAUCAGGUACAAUGAAGUAUUUCUCAGCUGUCACUAAUUUGGUGAUCAUUGUAGUGCACGGCCUGAACCCGUAUUUUCAUGUGUCUUAACAGCUGAAAUUACUCUUUCUUGACUGCAGUACAAGAACACAUUGUGGAAAUGAUACCAAAUUAUCAACUGUUACAACCCAUGACGCAUGAUCAAGAUUGUUACAGUUCACUAGUCUUGUAGCCAUUACUGUACAGCUUUACCAGGGAAUGUCUUGCAUUAGAGUAGAACAACAGUGUACGAUAGUGCAUAGCAUAGCAACAAUAGACAUAGCCCUCUAGAGGCUGAGUUUAGUACACAACUUUUGACUGAGAUGUAUGUGACAGCUCUACCUAGCAAGACAAAUGUUAGGCCCUUAUAGAUGGAUUAAUAGUGUGACCACUCAUAUCAGUAUAUUAGCUACCUGUGGAACCCUUUGGGUUAUUUAUCGAGUGACCAUGAUGUCCCUUACUCAGUGUGCAAAACAUUGAUAUAUGUCACAUUUGGUUUAGGCACUAACUUUUCAGGUGGCUUUCAUCUGUUGCAGCUGGAGUUUCCUCCUCAAUCCCCCUGCCUCCUUCAUAUAGCCAUGUGUUCAGCUCUUUGCAAUGAGUCAACUUUACAGUACAAUCCUGAUAAAAAAAGUUAUGAGAAAAUUGGAGAGUCCACUGAAGUUGCUCUGCGCGUUCUGGUGGAGAAGGUCAGUCGUUAGUUAUGAAAUCUGCUUAUCAGUGCACUUUUGAUGGCUUUCAUGGGAACUAUCAAUCUCAAUUUUCAUUUUGUUGAUUUAUUAGGUUGGUCUUCCUGGUUUUGAUUCGAUGCCCUCAGCCCUGAACAUGCUAACUAAGCAUGAGCGUGCAUCCUACUGCAAUCAUUAUUGGGAAAAUCAGUUCAGAAAGGUUAUAUGCAUCUACUUGUUGGCAUUUAUAUAUUGAUCGCGUGUUCUGUGGCCCUGUAUUUGCAGUUCCCUUGAAGAGUACCCCUUGCCCAAACCCUAUCUCAGCUACUACCAUUUAUAAGGAACUUCCUUGAUCAUGAACUUGUUCUGCUAGCAUAAGCAGGCAUUAGAAACAUCAUCCUUCUGUUAGUUGUUAAAAAAUAUACAUGUCUGAUACUUUAUGCAAAGUACCUCAAAGUUCUUGUGGUAUCAGCAGUUGUUCCUCCCACAUACUAGGCAGGUUCUAUAGGACGGCGAUUCGGCCCGCAAUCUUGUAUGGUGCUGAGUGUUGGCCGACUAAAAGGCGACAUGUUCGAUAUACGGGAUAGUUGGAGUAGCACCGAUUGAGGAGAAGCUUGCCCAACAUCGUCUGAGAUGGUUUGGCCAUAUUUCAGUGCAGGCCUCCAGAAGCUCUAGUGCAUAGCGGACGGCUAAAGCAUGCUGAAAAUGUCAAGAGAGGUCGGGGUAGACCGAACUUGACAUGGGGUUAGUGCGUAAGGAGAGAUCUGAAGGACUGGAAUAUCGCCAAGGCACUAGCAUGGACAGGGGUGCAUGGAAGCUAGCUAUGCACGGGCCAGAACCAUGAAUUGGUUAUGAGAUCUUAUGGGUUUCAGCUCUAGCUUACCUCAACUAGUUUGGGACUAAAGGCUUUGUUGUUGUUAUUGUUGUUGACACUUGGAUGGAAUGUUAUAUGCUAUCUAUUAUAUUAUAUUGCUCACACUUUGACUAUACUGCCUGCCUAUAUGUGGGGGAAACCAUUUUGUAUAUGCUGUAUAGCCUGACUGAUUGUGACUUACUGUAUUUAACUUCAAUUUUGACCCCAUUUCUUCAGAUUUAUAGUAUGAAGUUCUUAUGUUUUUUUCUUUGUGAUUUAUUCUUUAGAUAUCAGUUCUAGACUUUUCCCGAGAUCGCAAAAUGAUGAGCGUCCUUUGCAGUCGAAAACAACAGGAGAUUAUGUUUUCAAAAGGUGCCCCUGAAAGUGUAAUGGCAAGAUGCACACAUAUAUUGUGCAAUGAUGAUGGGUCUUCUGUACCAUUGACUAUGGACAUACGUAAUGAGCUGGAAGCUAAGUUUCAAAGGUCAGCCUUUGCACUUGUAGUUUUUAGGGUCAUGAGGUUGCAUGUUUCUUAAUCGAUGCGAUCAAAUUAUUGAAAUAUUCAAUUCAUAUAGUUAGAUUUAAGAAUAGAAAAAAGGUUAGCCUUUACAUCUGUAUGUAGCUUUUAGGUCAUGAGGUUGUAUGGUUCUUGAUGGAUGUGAUCACAAUAUUGAAAUAUUCAGUUCAUAUAGGCAGAUUUAAUAACAAUAUAACUGACAUUAUUUCUGAUGCGAAGGAACCUUGGUAAUUUUGACCAAACUCUGCCACUAAGUUAGCACUUCCCAAUGUCAUAUUGUUGCAUGAUUCUUUUAUUUUCUCUAAAUAUGCUUGCUGUUUUUUUCUACAGAGAAUGCUUUAGAUAAAUAUGUUCAAUGAUCUCCGAAUGUUUCAGUUUUGCAGGAAAAGAUACCCUAAGGUGCUUAGCACUAGCAUUAAAACGAAUGCCAGAAGGCCAACAAAGUCUUUCCUAUGACGAUGAGGCAAAUCUCACAUUUAUUGGAUUGGUACGCUUUGUCACUACUGCUGGUUCUGCUGUUCCUUCUUUAACAGUCUUCUACGUUUUGUUCACACAUUUUAAUAUAUGCUUUGCCUUUGUAGACAGGUAUGAUUAAUGUUAGUUAAGAUAACAAUGGCACUAAUAAUUGAUAAUGAAAAUUCUUUUGCUACCGGUUCAGGUUGGGAUGCUUGACCCUCCAAGAGACGAAGUUCGCAGUGCUAUCCAUUCUUGUAUGUCAGCAGGGAUUCGUGUUAUUGUUGUUACUGGGGAUAACAAGGUUGGUGAACAUAUUUGUUUAUUUUUGCUCCAAGAUCUUUUGAUACCGCUGAGAAAAUAAAUAUGUGCCAUUUUAGUCCACUGCAGAAUCUCUAUGUCGGCAAAUUGGUGCGUUUGAGCAUUUAGAUGACUUUACAGGGUAUUCAUAUACAGCAUCAGAAUUUGAAGGGCUUCCUCCUUUGGAAAGGGCAAAUGCAUUGCGAAGGAUGGUUCUGUUCUCCAGGUGAUUUGAAUAUCAUUACAACCUUGUUCAAAUUUAGGACAUAGCUACCCCUUGCCGAAUGGGUAAUGACAUAUCCCAGUUUCUCUUGUAAUAAGCUCCAUGAACUUAAUAUAAUGCAAAGUAAUGGAGUAGUAUUCUAUUGCAUUAAAAAUGUUUUUAUUUAUUAUUGAGAUCACCCAGCUCAUUGUUGAUGAACUGCCUGUAGUGACGUACACAACUAUUGCUGCCACAAGCAGUUGUAAGUUGAUUCAAUGGCUGCGAUUGGAGUUCAGUUUUCCUAUUAUUAGUGUGGUUCCUUAGAUUUGUUCCCGUAUUGAGUGCUUUGUUACCAGAGAUGUAGUUCAUUAGAAAAAUAUGGCAUUCACCAUCGCAAUUUUGAAUACUAGUUAUAGCUCCAGUCUAUCACAACCUAGUGGCGCGGAACAUAAUAUAUGCUUACCUAUGUGGCAAGUGACUACAUUGAUGAUACUCAGACAAAAAAGUGGUAAAAUGAUUAAACCAUCGACAGACGUAUGGAUUAAUCACCAUUCUUCCGGUUUUGUACUCUUGACUGCCAUUUUAUACCUGAUUAUUCUUACUGCAGAGUGGAACCUUCUCAUAAGAAGAUGCUUGUUGAAGCCUUGCAAUCACACAAUGAAGUGGUAAGUUUGUACCUGUUGAUAAAGUGUUCAUUGAGUUUCUUUAGUCCUCAUGAUGACGGAACUUAUUUAAUUGCUAUGGAAUUGACCAUGGGAAUUUAUGCUUCACAUUCCACUUCAUGGAAUAAUUCAUUUUACGCAAUAGCCAUGUUCAUUUCACAUGCCAGGUUGCAAUGACUGGUGAUGGCGUCAAUGAUGCACCUGCGCUGAAAAAAGCAGAUAUAGGAAUAGCUAUGGGAUCAGGAACUGCUGUUGCAAAGGUAUUACUUUUUUGAAUGUUAAGGUAUAACUGCUAUAUACUACCUCCGUCCCAUAUUAANNNNNNNNNNNNNNNNNNNNNNNNNNNNNNNNNNNNNNNNNNNNNNNNNNNNNNNNNNNNNNNNNNNNNNNNNNNNNNNNNNNNNNNNNNNNNNNNNNNNNNNNNNNNNNNNNNNNNNNNNNNNNNNNNNNNNNNNNNNNNNNNNNNNNNNNNNNNNNNNNNNNNNNNNNNNNNNNNNNNNNNNNNNNNNNNNNNNNNNNNNNNNNNNNNNNNNNNNNNNNNNNNNNNNNNNNNNNNNNNNNNNNNNNNNNNNNNNNNNNNNNNNNNNNNNNNNNNNNNNNNNNNNNNNNNNNNNNNNNNNNNNNNNNNNNNNNNNNNUUAAUAUGGGACGGAGGGAGUAGAUUAGAAGUAAAUAGGGACAUUGGUAUUCAUUAUCUUGAGAUUUUUGUUUCUUUCAAAAUAUCUUCAGUCAAUCAUGUUCUUCAUGUUUUGGUUGCUUUCACGGUCCUUUUUGAAUUUAAUAAACUUAUGUUUACCUUUAUAUUUCAGAGCGCUUCAGACAUGGUAUUGGCAGAUGACAACUUCGCUACAAUUGUUGCAGUAAGAUUAUGAUCUGACUGAUUAACAUACAAUAAGACAUAACCAUUGGAUCUUAUUAAUGCUUUUUUGUUACUUAAACUUAUUAUUAUCAUUUGCUCACAGGCUGUUGCAGAGGGAAGGGCCAUAUAUAAUAACACCAAGCAGUUUAUUCGAUACAUGAUUUCAUCAAAUAUUGGGGAGGUAGUUUGUAUUUUUGUGGCAGCGGUGCUUGGGAUGCCUGACACACUUGUACCUGUGAGUUGAAACUCUUUCUUAGCUUCCAUGUGUCUUGAGAUGAAAUAUGUGGACUUAUAUUUUGUUCUUGAAUUAAUGUGGCAAAAAAUCACACUGAUAUGUAGCAUGUUUAGGUUGUCAUUAUAUUUUGCCCCCUGUUUACUGCUGUACUCGCUAACAUAAUGUUUGUAACAUGCACAUCGUUCAUAUUUCUGGAGCUUCUUAAUUUUGUCACUGGAUGUAAAAUCUGCUUAUCUCUCUACUCCCAUCACUUUGUAGGUCCAGCUACUCUGGGUAAACCUUGUUACUGACGGGUUGCCUGCAACUGCAAUUGGUUUUAACAAGCCUGAUGGCAACAUCAUGGCAGUUAAGCCUCGUAAGGUAAUAUUAAAAGGGUGUUGCGCCUGAUUUUUUGUUUUUGUUUUGAGGGGAAGGGUGUUGUGACUGAUGAGAGGGAACUUUCCAUCUUAUCAUCAUUGGAUGGAAAAUAUAUUACUUACAUGGGCCAACCUAGGCUAACACGACCAUAUACAUGUAUCUAUACCUAACAGUAAUACAUGUAUCUUAUACCUAACAGUGAUUAGUUUGUAGCUUGUUAUUUCUAUUAUAAACUAAUAUACGUUGUAGGUUGUCCCCAUUAUUAUUUUGAUGGUUAUACUGACUUCAGUUAAAAUUCAUGUAACUUGACAAUGUGUUCUGGCAUUAUCAGGAAUUGUAAAAUCUUAGCAAGUCCACAGUACAGUGGCCUUAUGAAAGCCUCACUUCUUUUUCGAGAAAACGCAUAGAGCCUUGCGUUUCUUUGUAUUGAAAAGAAGGGGGAGUACAGCCUCCUAAGAGGUGAUUACAGCAUUGUUACAGGGGGUUUAGUGGACAUCCCAGGAUGGGGGCAAGACUACCCUAAGCCCUUUGUCCCCGGCUCUAGCCCAGCACCUCAUCUCAUCUUUGAUCCUAUCCAAGAGCUCGUCGAGCGACGGAGUAAUAUGGUCGAAGACACACGCAUUCCUAUGCUUCCAUAUCAUCCAGGGCACCAGUAGUGCGGCGGACCUCAGCGCCUUGCGGAGCGAUGGUGGUGUGGCAUCCCUCGCCCUCAUCCACCAGUCCUGGAUGGAGGCAUCAUGCUCCGGCGACGGGGCCGGUAGACGCAGCCAGGAUAGGGCCUCGUGCCAGGCCUGCCGCGCGAAAGGGCAUGUGAGCAGCAGGUGUCGGAUGGUCUCCGGCUCUUGGUCGCAUAGCAGGCAGCGGGUGUGAUGGGGAAGGCCUCGGCGAGCGAGCCUUUCCGCGGUCCAGCAUCGGUCUAGGUUUGCUAGCCAGUGAAAGAACUUGACCUUCGGUGGGGCCCAUCCCUUCCAGAUGAGCUGCCAUGAACGGCAUGUCAAUGAUCCGUGGAAGGCUGCCCGAUAGCAAGACCUCGCCGAGUAGACGCCGUUGGCCGUCCAUUUCCAAACGAGCUUAUCCGGCUCGUUGGACAGUAUAGUGCGUGCCACAAGCUGCCAUGUCCUCAGGUAUUGGCCGAUCUCUUGCAGACCCACUACGCCGCGAAUGUCUCGAGCCCAGGCAUUGCCGGCGAUGCCUUCCGCCACCGUCCGCACUCUUCUUCUGUUCUUGGGAAUGCAUAGGUAUAGCAGGGGCGCGAGCUCGCGUAUAGAUUGCCCGUGCAGCCAGCGGUCCUCCCAGAACAGAGCAGUGAGACCAUCUCCUACCACCAUGAAGGUGGAGGCAUAGAACAGGCCGAGCUCCUCGUGGGAGAACUGCAGGUCGAGGCCUGUGGAGGCAUAGAACAGGCCGAGCUCCUCGUGGGAGAACUGCAGGUCGAGGCCUUGCCAAGCUCGGUCGGCGUCCGUCCUCGAUAGCCAGAGCCAUCGGAGUCUGAGUGCGAGCCUCGUGCGCUCGAGGUCUCGGAUGCCCAGCCCGCCAUAUGCGAGCGGCCGGCAGACCGUGCGCCAGUUCACGUGGCAGUGUCCUCCAAGCGCGGCCUCGCGACCAGCCCAGAGAAAGCCACGAUGGAUCUUCUCUAGUUGCUUCAGAGUCUUCUUCGGGGGCGCUAAGGCAAGCAUCUGGUGAGUUGGAAUCGCGGUGAGGACUGAUUUAACCAGUGCCAGCUGCCCGGCCUUGUUCAUGAGCCAUGCUUUCCAUGACGGGAGGCGGCCUGCCACUGCGUCGACCAGCGGCUGCAUCUGUGCCUCUGAGGGUCAGCGGGAUGCCCAGGUAGGUGAUGGGCAGGUCCGCCGACUGGCAGCCCAGCGCCUCCAGCAAGGCGGCGCCAUCCUCGUCGCCAUGCAGGGUCAUGGCCGAGCUCUUGCCGUAGUUGACCUGCAGGCCCGAUGCGGUCUCAAAGAUACCCAGAAUGCUCUUCACAGCGAGCACCUCAUCCAUCUCAACAUGGGAAAACAGCAUCACAUCGUCGGCAUAUAGAGAAAUGGCCGGGAUGUUGCAGCAUGGGAAAACAGCAUCACAUCGUCGGCAUAUAGAGAAAUGGCCGGGAUGUUGCGGCGGGGGUGCAGGCGCCGAAGGAUGCCGGUCUGGAGCGCCCGUUGCAUGAGGCGGGCAAGCGCGUCGACUGCCAGGACAAAUAGCUGCGGUGAUGUGGAGUCGCCUUGGCGCAGCCCACGACGGUGCCAGAUCGGCGGGCCAGGCACUCCAUUGAGCAUGACUCGUGUGCUGGCCGAAGAUAAGAGAAUGGCCAGCCAUUCCCUGAACCUGUACCCGAACCCAUAUUGGCGCAGAACCUCGAAGAGGAACGGCCAGGAUAUGGAGUCGAAAGCCCGCGUGAGAUCGAGCUUGAGCAUAAUGCACGGCGCGCCCAGGUGAUGGAGCAUCCGAAGAGACUGCCGGACGAGCAUAAAAUUGUCGUGGAGCGUGCGUCCGGUGAUGAAGGCGUUCUGGUUGCGGCUCACCAGGCUGUCAAGCUUAGGAGCGAUGCGCAACGACAGAACCUUCGCGAAUAUCUUGGCCACGAUGUGUAUCAGGCAAAUCGGCCGGUAGUGCUGUUAAGUGGAUGCUGCAGUGGGCUAAAUCCCUUUCUAUUUUUAGUUUGCUUGUGCACACUACGCUAUAUGUCUGUGUGCACUGGAUUCCUUGUUGCGUCCAUGAGAAUUGUCGCCUUAUUUCAUUUUAUUUACUGUGUGGUAUGAAUUGCUUGGCAUUUAUCGCUAGGUGAGUUGGUUCAAGUGGUAGCUAUGAAUUUAAUUUUCUAGUUUGUUGCAUUUAUUAAGACGCUCUUUCCUGCUGCAAAUUUGAAUUGCAGGUGAACGAAGCUGUGGUCAGUGGAUGGCUCUUCUUCCGCUAUUUAGUCAUUGGUGGUAUGCACUAAGUGCCUGUAUCGACAUUUGUUAUCUGGAGUUAUUUUUGUUUCUUAUAGUUUUGUUAAUGCAGCUUAUGUUGGUCUUGCCACUAUAGCGGGGUUUGUUUGGUGGUUUGUUUAUUCUGAAGAUGGUCCUAGAUUACCAUACUCUGAAUUGGUAAGUUGGGAAACUCUCUACUUUUUGCAUUGUUUAUUUUUGGGUAAGUCUGAAACAGCAGUAACACUUGUACCUGAUAAACAGAAAAGGGGUCCCCCCCCCCUCCCCAAAGUUUAUACUUCAAAAGAUAUUGCUGUAGACUGUAGUGUAGUGUAGUAUACUUCUUUUGCACUGAUUAUCAAAUACCUCUGCUGUUGGUAACUGCUUGCCUAUCUCAUUGGGUUGCAUUUUCUAGGAGAUCUUGGUCAACAUGCUUGAGUGAGUCUUUCUAAGAAAUCUUAUAUUUGUUUUCCAAAAAGGAAAACGGCCACUCCGAGCCCUACUGUCAAAUUUGCAUAUUGGAACAAAAUAUACAUAAGACGUCGAAAUCCUUUCUAUAUGAUUUUCCCUAAAUAGCACCAUGAGUAACAUAGCAUGUGAUAAUAGAUGUGCAUUUCAAGUUACGAAACAACUGGUUCUUGCUGAGAUCAGCUUAUACAAAGAGAUUCCUUUGUUGGGUCUAAUGUUAGAUGGACAGACCAAUAAUGGAGUUUCAAGCUGUCAAUUCAUAUGGCUGUUUGGAUCCCAGGGAUUAAAAGAAGAAAAAUGCUUACAUAUACAUCCGGAGCUGGUUAGGAAUAGCCUUUCUCCUGGUCAGAUUUUAUUGUAAAUUCGAGCAUCUAAUUUAGAGUUUGACUUGUCUCUCCUGGUUUACUCGUCCAUCAAAAUUUUAAAAAAACUUUAAUCUGAAUUGAAGGUGGUACAUUCCUCUGGAUCUUACUGCGAUGGUUGGUUAUGGCUUAGACUUUUACCCAUUCGUACCACAUAAUCAUAUUUCACUUGCAUAUUUGAAUAGUUCAGUUCUGUAUGUUUGAGAGUUCUGAACGUGAAGUCACCAAUAGAUUUUUGUAUGGUUCCUCUCCCUCCAUGCCUGCUUUCCUUAUGGUAUAUUUUUCCCUUUACUUUUUUUGAAGCUUCUUAUUGUGGCUCUUAUUCAAAAAUUACUGAUUCUGUAAGUUCUGAAUAUCUUUCUUUUCCUAUGGCAGGUCAAUUUUGAUUCAUGUUCAACCAGGCAAACUUCAUAUCCUUGCAGCAUCUUUGAGGAUCGCCAUCCAUCAACUGUUUCAAUGACUGUUCUUGUUGUUGUCGAGAUGUUUAAUGCCUUGAAUAACCUAAGUGAAAAUCAAUCCCUACUGUAAGAUCCCUUUAUCUCUCAUCUCAUUUUAAGCCUCAGCCCCCCCGGUCCCCCAAAUAGCAGGCACACAAUGGCCAUACUCCCAUGUGCUACUUCUAAUGAGCAGGAAACAGUUGGUUUUCAUCGGUGAUUUUAUUCUUUUUUGCAUUUUUUCUCAUCUGAUCGACUUGUAAAUGAAUAAAUAUAUUUAUUAUCUUAAUUUGUGGAAGGUAAUCUUACUCGUCUGCUUAACAUGUUUAUCAAUCUAAUUUCCCAUGUAAUAGACAUGCCAAUACUUUUUUUUUUUUUNNNNNNNNNNNNNNNNNNNNNNNNNNNNNNNNNNNNNNNNNNNNNNNNNNNNNNNNNNNNNNNNNNNNNNNNNNNNNNNNNNNNNNNNNNNNNNNNNNNNNNNNNNNNNNNNNNNNNNNNNNNNNNNNNNNNNNNNNNNNNNNNNNNNNNNNNNNNNNNNNNNNNNNNNNNNNNNNNNNNNNNNNNNNNNNNNNNNNNNNNNNNNNNNNNNNNNNNNNNNNNNNNNNNNNNNNNNNNNNNNNNNNNNNNNNNNNNNNNNNNNNNNNNNNNNNNNUUUUUUUUUUUUUGUGAAAUUUGGAACACAAAAAAGAAAUACAUUUAUGCUAUUUCUGCAUAACCUAAGCGGGUUAUUUUUAUGUAUUUCAUUUUAGGUGGCAUGUGUACAUUGUUGCUUAUUACAUAUUCCUAUACAUCAAAACUUUGUUCUCCCACAAACCAUUGAAAACCACCCAGAAAAUUGGUUUUCAAAACCUGUUGUGCACAAAUAUAUAGAAUAAUUGGUACUCACUCCGUUCACAAAUAUAAGAUNNNNNNNNNNNNNNNNNNNNNNNNNNNNNNNNNNNNNNNNNNNNNNNNNNNNNNNNNNNNNNNNNNNNNNNNNNNNNNNNNNNNNNNNNNNNNNNNNNNNNNNNNNNNNNNNNNNNNNNNNNNNNNNNNNNNNNNNNNNNNNNNNNNNNNNNNNNNNNNNNNNNNNNNNNNNNNNNNNNNNNNNNNNNNNNNNNNNNNNNNNNNNNNNNNNNNNNNNNNNNNNNNNNNNNNNNNNNNNNNNNNNNNNNNNNNNNNNNNNNNGUUCACAAAUAUAAGAUGUUUUGGAUAUUUCAAUAUGGCUACAAAACGAGUGAAUAAACACACUAAAACAUGUCUACAUACAUUCGAAUAAGAAAAAGUUAGAACAUCUUAUAUUUGUGAACAGAGGGAGUAGCAUUCUGUCUUCUUUUUACAACUGCAAGAGCCAGCUACUUGGUUUUGUUUGGACCCUUUUAUAUUAUUUUUUAAAACGUUCUGAAAACAGUGACGAUGAACUAGAUGCUAAAGUAUGAAUGAAACAAGAGGUGGAAAUAUAGAUGGAAGUUAAUACGUUUCAAAUAAAUGUGGUCUCCACAGCUGUAAUAACUGUAUUUAUUUAUCGUAUGGUAUUGGUGGGUCAGCACUUCACUGCCCCAACCACUGGUUGAUGGCUGAAUAUUUUUGCUUGUGGCACCUGCAGAAUAUUUGUGUACUAAUUUCUGCCCCAGUGGAACUUGUCGUUUAGGGUUGUCUAGCUCUAUGUUCUCUGUUUUUGUUGUGCCUUUCUUUGGUGUCUAAAACUCUUUCUAUCUUAAUAGAUACAAAUGCAUCUCUCCUGGAUGAUCUUGAAAUUUCUUUCUCCGACCAGUGGCACUUGUCCUGGCCUGUAUAUGUAAAUUAAUUUGCUUAACCUGAAAUGAUUUUGGCACUUCCCUUGUGUCAGUGUCAUUCACCCAUGGAGUAACCUAUGGCUUGUUGGGUCAAUCAUUCUGACAAUGCUUCUUCACGUAGCAGUCUUGUAUACGGAACCCCUGUCGUCUCUUUUCUCAGUAAGUCACAUUGUCACCUAUUCUUUAUAGUAAGCUUACAAUAAUGCCAAAGAAAUAUUGGUAAUCGUGGUUUACUUAUGCAGGUAUCUCCAUUAACUUUGGCUGAGUGGAAAGUUGUUCUUUAUCUAUCCUUCCCUGUGAGUGUUUUUUCUACCUUGAGUUGCCAUGUUCAAAUUUCCGAUGAACCUAGUCUUUCUAUAUUGAAACAUACAUGGGAAUUUUGCCCCAACUUAUAUUUUGUUAACACUGUUGCUAGUUAUGAACUGGAUACCAUAUAUGUUCCAUUUGCACAUGUAUAUAACUUCUCCUUGGCCGCUAGGUAAUUUUGAUUGAUGAGGUGUUGAAAUUUUUCUCAAGAAGACCUCGAGGUAUGUUCUCCUCUAACGGCAGGUUUUUUUUUAACUUUUAGUUCUGCUGCAAAUGCUUACCAGUUACUGUACUAUUGUUUUAGUCAGCCAGAGCUAAUCAUUUUGUUAUUUCCAGCUUGGAGUUUUCCUUUACGGUUAUGGAGACGUGAGAUGCUUCCAAAAGAAGCCCGGGAUAAUUAAUUUUAGGACUAAGAAAGCUGUGCUUGAUAUAGCAUGAAGCUUGACUUUGGUCACGGUGAAACUAAUUUUGGCUAAUUUAUUUGGGCUUGAAAGCUGACAAACAUUUGUAGAAAGUUUGUAUACCUCCUUCCGUGAAUUGUGUCAAACAGAUAUUGACAGGAACUAUGUAAUUUUAAUGUAUGAAAAGAUGAGUAGAGAGCAGUUUUGAAUGUGUCUCGUAAGAAAUUGUUAUAUAUAGCCACAAGGUUCGAACUUGCAACAUCUACAGGCGGACUUAGCAAAUGUGACCUGUCCGUUUUGAGCCCUUAUUUUUUCGUCCGUGCACCCGCAUUUUUAUAUUAUUUUCUCAUAUGUCCGUUCACGUGAUUUGGGAUGGGGUCGCAUCCUACGUGGUGGACUGACCGGCCGUGGACGUGUUCAUGAGUCUUUGUAUCAUCUUCAUAUUUGAGAUGGAUAUGAAGGGUGACAGUUCAGACGUUUGAGACGAAUACAAAGGGUAUGGUUAAGUCGUGUUUUUGUGAUCGAUCAUUGAUUGGACGGUUUGUCCGAAUAUCAUCCUUAAAUUUGAGAUGGAUAUGAGGGGUAACAGUCAGUUCAGACGUUUGAGACGAAUAUAAAAGGUAUGGUUGAGUCGUGUAUUUGUGAUCGAUCAUUGAUUGAACGGUCUGUCCGAACAUUUUGAGACGGACAUAAGCUCUUACAAGACACGAGCUCAUAAUUCCAUAGACUUGUAUUUUCUUUUCGAGAUUGACUAUUCAAGGCAUGAGUAGUCCGGUUAUAUAUGCUCUUAUAAGACACGAGCUCAUAAUUUCAUAGGCAUGUAUUUUCCUUCGAGAUUGACUAUUCCAAUUCGAAGAUGACUUGCAGUUGGUACAAGUUAUAUGAAACGUACAUGAGACGCAAAAAAAAUUAUACAGGAAGGCAUCGAUCUUUUGUCCAAAAGGACCACCUGUUCAACGAAAUUGCUACCCCUUUGGUUGAAACUGGUAGAAAUGACCCCCGGGUCAUGGUGGCAUGUGUGCCAGCCGAUACAUGGUACCUGCCGCCACGAUCGAAGGUGACAACACUGUUCACACAAGGAAUUGUUUUCGCUCAGAAAAAUGAAUUUCGCUAUGGAUGAACAUUUUUUUUCAAAAAAAUAAAAAAAUAGCAGAAAAAAUAAAGAAAACUGAUUUUUUGGCAGCAUGUUUUUUGCUAGGGAUGAACAUGUUUUUUGCUAAAUUUUUUUUUCAAAAAUAUUGUUUAUCUUGGGCAAACAAUGCUGUUGUCGCGCCCAAGUGAACAGUGCUGCCGCCUCUGGACGUGGCGGCAGGUGCCACGUAUCGGCUGGCGCGCCUGCCGCCACGACCCAAGAGGUAUUUUAUGUCAAUUUCAUCUAGAAGGGGUCUUUUUUAGCAAUUCGGUUGUGCAGGUGGCCUUAUUUGAUAAAAACUCGAAGGCACCCACUACUAGUGUCCACUCUGUGUAGCCACACGGUGUAUAGAGUGGGCUGCGUUCCACCCUGGAUUUUUGAUCUUGCAUGUAAGAUGGACCGAAGGAGGAAAGAAGCCCAGCAAAGAUAGGAAGAGCCGCGUGAAAAGCAAGGCCGCAGCCGCCACACAAACACGGCCUGCUCCACCCCGGAAUUUUUGUCUUGCAUGUAACAUGGGUCGGAGGAGGAAAGAAGCCCAACAAAUAUAGAAAGAGCCGGCCGCAGCCGCCGCACGAACACGACUGACACAUCCAUGCAGACACAACCACUUUCUCUCUCGAUUCCGAUCCGCCACCAGCUCAACGCCUGCUUCCCGUCGCGGCAUCGUCUUGCCGGCCACCCUACCGCCUGCCCUGGAUUGGCCUUUCGUGUGCAUGAUGAAAGUGAACAGUCUAGCAACGGGGAAACUUCAUUGAGCUAUUGAAAUGACUAGCAACAAAUAGUGAGGGGAUGAAUAAGUAUGUCUUGAAGAAUGCACCAGGUAAUUGCAAAUUGACUUCUCAUCAAAUACAAAAUCAGAUUAUUCAAUGUUGUGCACUACACACUAGAAAUAAAAUUAUUGGACAAGUUGGUGAUGAUCAUUACGCUAUUCUAGCUGAUGAGUCUAGUGUUGUAUCACAUAAAGGACAACUAGCUCUAUGCUUGCGUUUUGUUGAUAAAGUAGGAAGGAUGAGUGAGGACUUUCUUGGAGUUGUUCAUGUAAGUAACACUACUGCAUUGUCUCUUAAGGAAGCAAUUGAAACUUUACUUGUCAAUCAUGGUUUAACUGUAAGUCAAAUUUGUGGGCAAGGUUAUGAUGGGGCUAGCAAUAUGAGAGGAGAAAUUAAAGGAUUGAAAAUAUUGAUCAUGAAAGAGUCACCUUCUGCCUAUUACAUCCAUUGCUUUGCACAUCAACUCCAACUAGUUCUUGUUGUUGCCAAGGGAAAUGAUGACUUGUGUGGUUUUUUGAUCGAGUGUAUUUAUUGUUGAACAUUAUUGGAGUUUCUUGUAAGCGUCAUGACAUGCUUAGAGAUGCUAGAUUUCAUACUAUCAUGAAACUACUUGAAUGUGGUGAGUUACAAACUCGGAGUGGCUUGAAUCAAGAGAUGGGGUCACCUAGGCCUGGUGAUACUAGGUAGGGCUCUCAUUAUAAUUAUGUUCUCAACAUUAUUGCUAUAUAUCCCACAAUUGAUGAUGUAAUCAUCACUCUUGGACAAUAUGCUACACAAAGGAGUGAUUGGCCAAGAAUCCACACUAUUGUUGGAGUGUUUGAGUCAUUUGACUUUAUUUUCAAUGCCCACUUGAUGCUUGUCAUUUUCGGAUACACAAGUGAUUUGUCUGAUUGUUUGCAAACAAGAGACCAAGACAUUCUUUCUGCAAUGGCAAUCGAUAGAUUGGCAAAAGAUAGAAUACAAUAGCUGAGGUCUAAUAGGUGGGGUGCAUUUCUUCAAAAGGUCACACUAUUUUGUAACAAGCAUAGCAUUCAAGUUCCUACAAUGGAAGAUAAUUAUGUGCCUUAUGGAAGAUCAACACGGUUUGUUCGACCGCAUACAAAUGAUUAUCGCUUUAGAAAAGAAGUUUUUCUUGAAUUAAUUUAUCAAAUUAGUCAAGAGCUUGAAAAUCGGUUUGACGAUAUCAAUAUGGAGUUGCUAUCUUGUAUGUCUGCUUUGAAUCAUACUAAAUCAUUUGCUGCUUUUGAUGCAGACAAGGUACACGAACUUGCAGAGUUCUAUCCUGAAGACUUUUCAAGUGCUGACUUGAUACACCUUAAACUACAAAUUGAUAACUAUAUGAUUUAUGACAUGAGAAAAUAUGAGAACUUCCAAGGCCUUAGAAAUCUUGUUGAUCUUUCAGUCAAGCUUGUUCAAACAGGCAGGCAUAUAGUCCAUAAAUUUGCGUACUUGCUUUUAAAAUUGGUAUUGAUUCUACCAGUGGCAACGAGGAAUGUUGAGAGAGCAUUUUCUGCUAUGAGUUUAGUCAAGAACAAGUUAAGAAAUAAGAUGUGUUUUUGGAUGAUUGCCACAUACAUUGAGCGGGAUAUUCUCUCCAAGGUAAAUAAAGAUGCUAUAAUUGAUACUUUCAUGGGCAUGCAAAAGCGUAGUCCGGAAACAUAGUCUUCUUUGGAUUCUCAAGGUAUGUAGUACGUACUAUUAAGUCUUCUUUUACGCAAAACUGGGACAUAAUUAAAUUUUUUAGUGUAUUUAUAAAACCAUAUUGAUCUAUUUAUAUAUGUUAUUGAUAAUUAGUUAGAUCGUUCACAUGUCGUGUUUGUUGUUAAAUUUUUUGGAAGCGGCCCACCCUGCUAGCUCCGUCACUGUCCACCUCCAGGGCCGCAGGACGAACCCCGAUCGACGCCACCAACCACCACCAUCGAUCGGAUCUAGGCAGGAGACCUGGGAUCCGCCGCUACCACGCCCCAGCCCGUGCCCAGACGAGCUGCAGGGCAACAGGAGCAAGGUCGUGCCGACCGGGCCACCACAACGCUGGAGAGAGAGCGCUGAAGCCAGGAAUGGACCAGUGCCCCGUGUCGUUGAUAUGCGAGCAGUGCCCUGCGCUACCCCGCAUCUGCCAGGGAGGAAGGCCGCCCCGCCGCCGCCCACAUCAUGAGGGCUUUGCCCGGGCAGCGCCCGUUGGCGGCGGUGAGGGGAGGAGGGGCGGGGAGGGCUCUCCCAGGUCGCCCGUGGGGGGCGCGACACGGGAGUCCUGAAGUGAAAUUUGUGCUAGCUGGCUCUGAACUGUACGUGUUAUGUUCGUGGCUUGUACUUCCUUCACUUUUAAAUAUAAAACCUUUUAAAGAUUUUACUAUAAACUACAUUAGAAAUAGAGGGGGUAUUUUUUAUUGGAGGCUCAUACCCAAUGUUGCUUCACAUCUUAAAUUAAGGUCAUAUCAUGCAGCAAGCCUGUGACAAUUUAGCCAGUCAAGGUUUAAAGCGUUUGUAAUGCCCAUUUUCAUGCACCAGAAUGAAGAUUUUGUAAAUUGUAUUGUGAAUUAACUAGUAAAAGAGCCUGAGUGUUGCAAUGGAAUAUAUUUUUAUCACACAUCCCUAAUCCAAUAACCAUGACUUAAGACGUCAUAUUUCAACAUGGCAUCUCAUAGGUGUUACUGUUUAUCCUCCUUCCCAUCUUCACCGACUGUGACAUCAGUGUUUACAAAACCACAACGUGUUUGAAUGUGGUCAAUUACAAGGCGUAUCUCUCACUCUCAUUCUCGGCAAAAGAUGAGAAAUUUGCUGUUUUUUUCCUGCGAGGUUUUGUCAACACAUUCAUGUGUGGUUAUUUAUAAUUCUGCACUUGUACCAUCAUGACAAGCAUGAAUGCCAAGUUUCAUAGCUUUUUAACAAUGUAUGCAUUUUAUACAAUUUUACGGAUGAAAAAACCCUAAAACAACGCCUGGACGUGAUGCAACGUGCGUAUGUUGUCGGAACUUGAUCACAAUUUGCAUUGAGUAUUCUGUUGGGCAUGCCAACCCGCUUGCAAAAUAUACGGUCAUUCUCAAGAUGAUCAAAAAUUGAUCUUCUUCUGCCGAGGUCUUUCGGGUAGGAGCGAAGGGCCCGUCGCCAAGCACGUUUUUUUCGACAUCCUCCAAAUGCUCUUUUUUAUACACUUAUACCAUCAUGACAAGCAUAUAUAACCAUGUUUCAUAGCUUUUCAACAGUGUAUGCAUUUUAUACAAUUNNNNNNNNNNNNNNNNNNNNNNNNNNNNNNNNNNNNNNNNNNNNNNNNNNNNNNNNNNNNNNNNNNNNNNNNNNNNNNNNNNNNNNNNNNNNNNNNNNNNNNNNNNNNNNNNNNNNNNNNNNNNNNNNNNNNNNNNNNNNNNNNNNNNNNNNNNNNNNNNNNNNNNNNNNNNNNNNNNNNNNNNNNNNNNNNNNNNNNNNNNNNNNNNNNNNNNNNNNNNNNNNNNNNNNNNNNNNNNNNNNNNNNNNNNNNNNNNNNNNNNNNAUGCAUUUUAUACAAUUAUAUGGAUGAAAAAACCAAAAAGACGCACGUGCAUAACGCAACGUGCGUUUGGUCUUUAUUUUUUGUCAAAAUCUUGAUGGGGCCAUUCUUUGGCCAUGCACACCUGGUUGCAAUUUUUUUUAUUUUAUUAAACACUUAAUUAUUAUGUAAUGUAAAUAAGCUCAAUAAGUAAACAUAAACAUAUUGUAUUUUACAUAGUUUAUGACGAUUUUCGAUUCAAUUCAAUUAAAACUAUAGAAAACAAAUUAAAACCAGUUAAUAAGCAACUAAUAAAAUAUUAAAACAUUACAUAAUUCAUAAAAGCAACACAAUUUCGUUCAUAUUUUAGGAUAUCUUGCAUCAUUUAUUGAACAAAAUUUUGCAUUCGAAAUGUAAAACGACGAAAUAAAACAUAACUACCCCUAAUCGCUAUUGACAAGAUCCACAACUUCUGGAGCACCACCGUUGCUGCCGACGUCUUCGAUGCUGUCUGAGUCGUCAAAUGCGUCGGAACCGCCGAAGUGCACAAAAACUUUUCAUUUGACAUCGCCUCCCGCGCUAGCGUAUACGUCGAAUUCCUUAUCGCCUGCCACAUAACUCCGGUUCGUCCGCCAGAUCCCUCGGGUCAACGAACCCAGGUCGUCUCCCUUGUUGAGUCUCGGAUCAUGCGAAUUAACCCCGGUGACUCCAAGGGAUCUCCGUCCUCUUGCAUCGCAGCAAGCUCGGGCGGAAUGAUCAACAGUGGCUCGACUGGGGCCGUGGCGGGAGCGGCUGGGGGUGGGGNGGGGGGGGCACGUGCUCGGCGGACCGAACGCAGGGCCGGGACGGUAGGGGGCACCACGGGAGCGUUUUGCCUGUCGAAGCGAAGGCCCCGGGACUUGUAGAAGGUGACGACGGUGUCGAAAUCGCGACCCUCCAUAAACCCUUGGCGGUCCUCGAGAUUCCAUGGGCCUACUUGAGCAGGGCCCGGCGUGGCGUAGUCAUNNNN